GGGACCAGACACCAGUGAAAAAGGGUGGCCCAGGUGAUUCAGCCUCUCACAGUGCCUCUGUUGCAGUUUCCUCAGAGUUUUGCAUCCAGAACAGCUUCAAGGCUGCCGACUUGAAGCUCACAGACUACUCCAGCCAGGACUUCAGAUAAGUCUUAAACUUUACCAUUGCACAGAAACUGGACAACAAAUAAUACAGCUAACUUUCCCAGGACUUGACCAUUAUCCCAAUUUUCCUAGGGUCUCCUUAAGAUGCUAGAGCCUCCUGACAACAUGAAGCAGUCUAGAGAACAUGAUGCCCACAUUCCCAAGAGUAACUGAGAAGUUUUUACUAAGGAAUGUGGAGUGUGAGAACCCAGUGCAGACAGAGGGUGAGCAGAAAACAAGUAGAUCAAACAGAACCAGAAGCAGUGUGUGGUGGUGAACAUCUCUAAGUCCGGGACACAAAGAUGGCUGUGUGUUUGAGGUCAGCCUGUACUACAGGACAACAUGCAACAUAAAGGUGGGGAUUUUCAUGGCAAGACCACUAAACCUUGGAUUCCAGUCUAAGCCUUGAUGAAAAUAAUGCAUAAAUCCUCUAGCUCAGUUUCAUCAUCCAUAAAAUGAAGGUAAUAACUACUAGUAGGGUGCUGUGAAAAUAAAAUAUAAUAGAAGUUACAAUACUUUGCAAAUAGCGAAAAUAAAAAAUAACACUAUGUCCUUCAUUCAAAAGACAGAUAUUUGCUUAUCCCAAC